GAUGAACGCUGGCGGCGUGCCUAAUACAUGCAAGUCGAGCGACCGGACGAGAAGCUUGCUUCUCUGAUGUUAGCGGCGGACGGGUGAGUAACACGUGGAUAACCUACCUAUAAGACUGGGAUAACUUCGGGAAACCGGAGCUAAUACCGGAUAAUAUUUUGAACCGCAUGGUUCAAAAGUGAAAGACGGUCUUGCUGUCACUUAUAGAUGGAUCCGCGCUGCAUUAGCUAGUUGGUAAGGUAACGGCUUACCAAGGCAACGAUGCAUAGCCGACCUGAGAGGGUGAUCGGCCACACUGGAACUGAGACACGGUCCAGACUCCUACGGGAGGCAGCAGUAGGGAAUCUUCCGCAAUGGGCGAAAGCCUGACGGAGCAACGCCGCGUGAGUGAUGAAGGUCUUCGGAUCGUAAAACUCUGUUAUUAGGGAAGAACAUAUGUGUAAGUAACUGUGCACAUCUUGACGGUACCUAAUCAGAAAGCCACGGCUAACUACGUGCCAGCAGCCGCGGUAAUACGUAGGUGGCAAGCGUUAUCCGGAAUUAUUGGACGUAAAGCGCGCGUAGGCGGUUUUUUAAGUCUGAUGUGAAAGCCCACGGCUCAACCGUGGAGGGUCAUUGGAAACUGGAAAACUUGAGUGCAGAAGAGGAAAGUGGAAUUCCAUGUGUAGCGGUGAAAUGCGCAGAGAUAUGGAGGAACACCAGUGGCGAAGGCGACUUUCUGGUCUGUAACUGACGCUGAUGUGCGAAAGCGUGGGGAUCAAACAGGAUUAGAUACCCUGGUAGUCCACGCCGUAAACGAUGAGUGCUAAGUGUUAGGGGGUUUCCGCCCCUUAGUGCUGCAGCUAACGCAUUAAGCACUCCGCCUGGGGAGUACGACCGCAAGGUUGAAACUCAAAGGAAUUGACGGGGACCCGCACAAGCGGUGGAGCAUGUGGUUUAAUUCGAAGCAACGCGAAGAACCUUACCAAAUCUUGACAUCCUUUGACAACUCUAGAGAUAGAGCUUUCCCCUUCGGGGGACAAAGUGACAGGUGGUGCAUGGUUGUCGUCAGCUCGUGUCGUGAGAUGUUGGGUUAAGUCCCGCAACGAGCGCAACCCUUAAGCUUAGUUGCCAUCAUUAAGUUGGGCACUCUAAGUUGACUGCCGGUGACAAACCGGAGGAAGGUGGGGAUGACGUCAAAUCAUCAUGCCCCUUAUGAUUUGGGCUACACACGUGCUACAAUGGACAAUACAAAGGGCAGCGAAACCGCGAGGUCAAGCAAAUCCCAUAAAGUUGUUCUCAGUUCGGAUUGUGGUCUGCAACUCGACUACAUGAAGCUGGAAUCGCUAGUAAUCGUAGAUCAGCAUGCUACGGUGAAUACGUUCCCGGGUCU
rnacentral:rRNA from 1 species